rnacentral:rRNA from 1 species
CACCGGUGGCGAAGGCGGUCUUCUGGAUUAUUGCUGACACUGAGAGACGAAAGCGUGGGGAGCAAACAGAAUUAGAUACUCUGGUAGUCCACGCCCUAAACGAUGUAUGCUUUGUUGUUGGUUUCCUUUCNGGGAAUUAGUGACGUAGUUAACGCGUUAAGCAUACCGCCUGGGGAGUACGAUCGCAAGAU